rnacentral:rRNA from 1 species
UACGAAGGGUGCAAGCGUUACUCGGAAUUACUGGGCGUAAAGCGCACGUAGGCGGACUCUUAAGUCGGUGGUGAAAUCCUGGAGCUCAACUCCAAAACUGCCUUCGAUACUGAGAGUCUUGAGUUCGGGAGAGGUGAGUGGAACUGCGAGUGUAGAGGUGAAAUUCGUAGAUAUUCGCAAGAACACCAGUGGCGAAGGCGGCUCACUGGCCCGAUACUGACGCUGAGGUGCGAAAGCGUGGGGAGCAAACAGG